rnacentral:rRNA from 1 species
AUGGAGGCGCUGCCGGACGACAUCGUUGUGGAGAUCCUGGUGCGCGUGACGGGCGUUGCCGCCCUCUUCCGCUGCGCCGCGACGUGCAAUCGGUGGCGCCGCCUCAUCGCCGACACCUCUUUCCUCUUCCGCCUCUGGCCAGAGGGCGUGCCCCACUCGUCCUUCCUCCUCGGCUUCCUCGUCACACAACUGUCCCGUGAAGAACGACCAGCCAGAAUCAUCUCUGCGCCCGCGCCGUCGUUCGCCCUGGCGCCAUGGUCGCCCCUCGGAGACCGCUACCGCUUCCUCGGGCAUUACAUCCACGGCCUCCUCAAGGAUGGUCGCUUGCACACGGUGCCGCUCACCGCGCGUCGCGGCCUUCUUCUCAAUCACAUCGUCGAACUCGUCUACCCCAACAAUAUGACGACCGAGGGAAGCUUCAGUCUGGCAUUGUGCGAUCCGCUCGCGGGCGUAGGUCGCGAGCUCCCCCCGCUGAAGUACAAUGGAAAAUUCACGAUGGUAGGGUAUACCAUCCUAACCGAUCUGGAUUGCUGCUCCGACAAACGGCGAUGGCCAAUCUACGAGGUCUCCUUCAAAGUGCUAAUCAUCAGUGUCGACGAAGGUCAGCCAGGGUACAAUCUCCAUGUGUUCAUGCCCGCUGAGUGGAGCUGGAGCACGCCUAGACAGUUCUUUGGCACUCUGGAGCACGGCGUGCAUGUGGCGCCCCAGCAGGCCAACGCCGUCGUGUGCCAAGGCGCGGCACACUGGCUUUUCAGGCGGACGUCAAGCUUUUACACGCUCAGUGUGUGCGCUAAGACUGCCCACAUGUCCUUAACAAGGCUCCCAAUCACGCCGUACCAAAUCGACCUCAACUUGUAUAGUGAACCAAUGCUUAGUGUCACCAAUGACGGGAUGCUAUCGUUACUUCGUUUGUAUAGGAAAUUCACCAUGCUGGAGAUCUGGACAUGUCAAGGUGACUAUAAAAGUGAGGAUGACAACGUGGACCGCUGGUACCGCACAAAGAUGAUCAAGCUAAAACGACCCACGCAGAUUAAGAUCGACCUUGUGCGAUGCGUGUGUAUCGGAGAGAUGAGUGGCAAACUGCUGGUCAAUGACAAUCAAGGUUGUGUGUACAUUGCAGACCUCCAAACUGGUGCAAUGGAGACGGUCACCGAGUGGUUUCGCAGCAGUGUCCAGAGUGCUAUACCCUUUGAGAUGGAUUGGCCUGCCUACUUCAUGUCUCAGUUGGCUGGUGGCAGGAUCAAGCGGACUAAAUUGGGAGGAGCUAUACAGAAAAUUGCGAAAUCUUUCUGGGGACUAGUAGUUGUGUCAGUAAUCUUUGGACUAAUUGCUAUGAGGUGGGCUUGGGCCUAG